rnacentral:rRNA from 1 species
UACGUAGGGUGCGAGCGUUAAUCGGAAUUACUGGGCGUAAAGCGUGCGCAGGCGGUUCGUGAUGUCUGAUGUGAAAGCCCCGGGCUCAACCUGGGAAUUGCAUCGGAAACUAGCGGGCUGGAGUGUGGCAGAGGGGGGUGGAAUUCCACGUGUAGCAGUGAAAUGCGUAGAGAUGUGGAGGAACACCGAUGGCGAAGGCAGCCCCCUGGGCUAACACUGACGCUCAUGCACGAAAGCGUGGGGAGCAAACAGG